UGCUUGUGCUUUUAAAUGGGUGUGGUUGCUAAGUAUAUCUUGUUUACCUUAUCUUUCUGUGGAAAAAGUUUUGAAGUCUGGUUGGGUUUGUCACAUCCAGCCUGUUGCCUAGCACUACCCAAAGUGUUCUUAUCUAGCGACAGAGACUGGAUGUAGGUGGAGGUUGUGGCUUGGC
rnacentral:lncRNA from 1 species